rnacentral:rRNA from 1 species
AGUGAACGCUGGCGGUAGGCCUAACACAUGCAAGUCGAACGGCAGCACAGUAAGAGCUUGCUCUUACGGGUGGCGAGUGGCGGACGGGUGAGGCAUACAUCGGAAUCUACUUUUUCGGGGGGGAUAACGUAGGGAAACUUACGCUAAUACCGCAUACGACCUACGGGUGAAAGCAGGGGAUAUUCGGACCUUGCGCGAUUGAAUGAGCCGAUGUCGGAUUAGCUAGUUGGCGGGGUAAAGGCCCACCAAGGCGACGAUCCGUAGCUGGUCUGAGAGGAUGAUCAGCCACACUGGAACUGAGACACGGUCCAGACUCCUACGGGAGGCAGCAGUGGGGAAUAUUGGACAAUGGGCGCAAGCCUGAUCCAGCCAUGCCGCGUGGGUGAAGAAGGCCUUCGGGUUGUAAAGCCCUGUUGUUGGGAAAGAAAAGCAGCAGGUUAAUACCCGGCUGUUCUGACGGUACCCAAAGAAUAAGCACCGGCUAACUUCGUG